rnacentral:rRNA from 1 species
GACGAACGCUGGCGGCGUGCUUAACACAUGCAAGUCGAACGGUGAAGGGGUCUGCUUUUGUGGGCCCUGGAUGAGUGGCGAACGGGUGAGUAACACGUGAGUAACCUGCCCCCUUCUUCUGGAUAACCGCAUGAAAGUGUGGCUAAUACGGGAUAUUCUGGGUCUGUCGCAUGAUGGGUCUGGGAGAGAUUGCGCCUUUGGGUGUUUUUGGUGGGGGAUGGGCUCGCGGCCUAUCAGCUUGUUGGUGGGGUGAUGGCCUACCAAGGCGGUGACGGGUAGCCGGCCUGAGAGGGUGGACGGUCACACUGGGACUGAGACACGGCCCAGACUCCUACGGGAGGCAGCAGUGGGGAAUAUUGCACAAUGGGCGCAAGCCUGAUGCAGCGACGCCGCGUGAGGGAUGGAGGCCUUCGGGUUGUAAACCUCUUUCGCCAGUGAAGCAGGCCUGCUCCUUGUGGGUGGGUUGACGGUAGCUGGAUAAGAAGCGCCGGCUAACUACGU